rnacentral:lncRNA from 1 species
AAUCUCUCUCUGCUGCCCAGGCUGGAGUGCAGUGGGAUGAUCUCGGCUCAUUGAAACCUCCACCUCCAGGUUCAAGCGAUACUCCUGCCUCAGGCUCCCGAGUAGCUGGGACUACAAGUGUGCACCACGAUGCCCAGUUGCUCUGGCUGUUAAUUCCAGCAUAUGCUGAACAGAAGUGACAAGAGUGGGCAUCUUUACCUUGUUUCUGAUCUUUGAGGAAAAGUUUUCAGUUUCUAACCAUUGAAUAUGACAGUAGCUUGGGCUUUAUUAUGUUGAGGUACACUCCUUAUAUACAUAAUUUGUUGAGCAUUUUUAUAAUAAAAGAAUGUUUA